CAAAGCCACCUGUACUUUGGUUUGCCUUUAGGAUUUCUGUCAUGUUGCUUUCUGUGCUAUGGGAUGUGUCUCAGCUUUAUUAGAACUGUUACAAGUCAUGUCACAUUCCUGCCUUUGUAGUCACUGUGUAAAGUGUACCAUGGACAUGUCUGAAUUGUUUUUGAGGUCCAGGGCCUCAGCACCUUUCCUUCAGUCAGAGAUGGGCUUUGGGUGUACAGUAUUUGAGGAUGAGCAUCAGCCAUUUUGAUGCCCACAGGCCAGUGCAGAGCUCCUGCAGUUAGCCAUGGCCACAGCAGCCUGCUAGGCUGAGCUCUCAUUUGAGGGGUGUCACAUGCUGUUGAAGUGUGCUCCAGCAGCAGAGUGCUCUCUUUCUUGAGCUCUUGGACUGGUUUGGAGCCUGGUAUCAAAUAAGAACCUUCUGAAUCCUUUCACACCACUGGGACAGUCACAACCAUGACAUGUUAGAAGUGCAGUGUAUUCUCAUGGACUACUACCUUGGAGCAGCACUUUUUCCUGUAAGUUACUGUGAGUCAGAAUAACGCAGCAUCUGUAAUUCUCAGGUGGGUGAAAAUAUGCUGGAGAGGCAGGGACUGAGGAAAAUGAUUUAUGCAAGAACUUCAGCUGCCUUCCUCCAUGGUGCCAAAUGGAAGAGAGAUGUGGGCACAAGGGAACGGUGGAUUGGGAUGAACAAAAUCCUGGUGGGAGACACUUAUCAAACCCUUGUACGCCACUGAAGAUGAAAUCGUCUGACUGACUUAAUGCACAUCAUUACCACAUCUGAGUCACCUGGCAAUUUCCUUUUUGGCUAUGAAGACCACCCCCUCAUCUUAACCUGCAGCUAGGUGAGUUUGAGGCAGUAACUUUUCCUGAAGUGCUUGGGGGAAAUGUAGACAUAGGAGCUAACUUAAUGGCCUUAACUGCAGAGCUAUUUAGCAACCUUUGCUGUAGCUAAGCAGAACACUGUGAUGUAUCUUCACACCUGAUACAUCAGCUGAUCAUUGCCUUGUUUUUACUACAGGCAGGGCAUAGUCAACAUGUAACAAAUCCACCCAUGUAACUAACAGUCUUAAAGAGGUCUUCAACUUUUCCUCACUCAAUUUGUCCUUAGAUUAUAGAAAUCAUGAGAUAAAAAGCUUCCAAAGAUAAGAGAACUCAACUGCAGCUCUUAUUUUGAGCGCUGUCUAUAACAGCUUAGCCAAUUCUGCUAGCAGGCUAAUAGGGCAUACUGGUGUCCAGUGUCAGUGCAAUUAUCAACACAUUGGUAAAAGCUGUUUGGAAAUACUGCAUCAGUUAUUUUCCAGGGCAGAACCAUGGAGCUCCAUUGUUCUAGAAGAGUUGCUUCUCAGCCAAACUAUGGUUAAAUGCUUAAAGAGAGACUAAACCCCUGGCUGCUGGCAUUCCAUCUGCUGGACAGACCACACCAAACUCUAAUACUCAAAAGAUUUUUGAGGUGCUUUGACAUUUAAACAGGUUCUAUAAAUCCAAGUGUGCUUCUGCAUGUACAGCAUGCUUAAAGCUGCCUGUUAAGAGCUGGAACACUGCUGCUAUACAAGUAAAACUGUACUGAACAGAAACUCUUAAGAGCAUCCCCACUUCCUGUUGGAAGUAAAAAGCUCCACCAAAAUGCUAAGUUACUCAUCACAUCUGUUCAGUCACUAACUCUUCUUAUGGAAGUAACUGUGUGUGCAGACAGACAGGCCUUUGCAUAUCCGAUAUUUCAAGAGUUUUUUGGAUGUUGACUGGGGAUAGGUGGGUGGGUGGAUUUUUGGGAUUUUGUUGAAGAAUUUUUCUGUCAAUUUUUAAAAACCUAAAAGAGGACAAUGUAACUUUUAGCCAGUGGCUAAGACUGAGAUUCUUACUAUGUUAGAUGCUCCUCAGAUGUAUGUAUUAACCUGCAACAGCCUGUGCUGGAGCUGCCCUGUAAUUCAGGGGUACCAGAUCCUAAGCUACACAUUCAGGACAGUUCUAGAAUAGCCAUCUUUUAGGCAAAGGUUAUUACAGUAAAUUCAGCAACAAGUCUGACUGCCAAAUAGUUUUGACUGGUGCAGAGAAAAUUCCAGUCAGCCUCAAGACUCUGCACUUAGCGUGGUCUCGUGUAAAAAAUUUACGGUGAACGCAUGAAGGCACGGGUUUGCUUACUGACAGAAACCGACGUUUUACCGUAAACAUAUCGCUGGCAGCCGGUCCUGGCAGUGCGCACGGUGCAGUAACUCACCUC